CGGUUCUUUCGCGCACGGAGCACCGUUGGCUCCCGGUCAGCGGGCAGCCGCAGGGUGGCCGGCGCUUGAUCGCCUCCUGGCGGUCCGC
rnacentral:tRNA from 1 species